AAACCGCUGUCUAAAUUCUUAAACACCUACUGCAGGAAAGGACCCGUUGCCAUGAAUCCGCCUCAAAAUACCGCCCCCCAACGCACUUCCCGUCCAUCUUGUCAAUUUGGGAAGCGGUUCUGGAGUUCUCUUUUCCGGGACUCUUUAACCGUGCUGUUGUGGCCGGCCAGAUGUCCUGGAUCAUUCAAAAUGUUGACUUCUCGUGGUCGAGCUAUUUUAAAAAUUUAAACAUUCGCGCAUUUUCCCACCACACCUUGUACAUACAAUGGAAUAUUAUUUAAUGGUGUAAAGGAAAGAAGUUCCAAGAUGUGCUACAGCACAGACAAACCCUGAGGAUAUUAUACUGUGCACAUGAAAGAAGCCAGAAAUGAAAAGAUGAGUACUAUAUAAUUCCACUUCUGUGAACUUCCCAGUGUAGCUUAAUUCACACCAUGGAGUGGUAGUUGCCAGGGCAGGAGGGAGAGGAAAUGGGGAGUAGUUGUUUGAUAGGCAGGGUUUUCAUUUUGUAAAAAGAAAGCGUUCUGGAGACUGGCUGUACCAAUGUGAAUAUACUUAGCACUGCACUGACCGCUUAAUGAUUCACAUGGUGGACUCCCCAUUCGGUGUGUCUUACCACAGUUCUACAUUACUGAGCCCUGGAUGGUGAACACAGCAUUGCACCAGGAGGGGCCCACUGUGAAAUGUGGGACACCCGAACCAUCACAGGAGACAACAGACCAUAAAGGAUUUUAACACCCUGAAUUAAUUAAGAUCCGUGGGUCCAUAGUAGCCCUUGGGAAAAUCAGAGAAGGAAAAAGGGGAAGAAAUAAAUAUAAUGUUAAUGGAAAAAAUGGAAUAUUGGGCCGGGGAUUUAGCUCAGUGGUUCCACCACCUGCCUCACAAGCUCAAGGACCCAAGUUCGAUCCCCGGUACCAAAAAACAAACCCACAAAAAAUGGAAUACAUUCUUGUGCAACUCCAGCUAUGUAAAAGCAAGUCACAUGUUCUAGUUGAACAAUGAGAAGUAAUGUCUAUUUUUCAGCACGCUGUGUUUUCAACCUUGAACAGCUAUUGCUUUAUAAUAAAGGGGGGGAAACUUUUUUAAUUCUGUGGAUAUAAAUUUGAAAAAUGUUAUGCUAAUGCCUGUUGAUAAAAAUACAAAAGAAUCACAGCAGUGAAUCUGAAAAUCUUUCUGUUAUAGUCAACAACUUUGUAGUAAGGCCUUUUCUUGCUAUGAACCAUGAGAAGCUGGAAGCUUUUAUAGGAAAAGAAAGGCCCUUCAUGUUGAAAUAGCAUCCAGAUGUUUUCUGCCACAGGGUGAAAGCUCUAGAAGUCCAUGCAUUUUAGUGUUCAUUGCUGGAGUGAUGAGAGAAAACAAACAAGGAAAGAAGGAUAGAAAGCGACUCUAAUUACAGCAGUGAGCAAGUUUCUACUCACCUGGCAGAGGACAGCAGAGGACAGCAGAGCACAGCUGAGGACAGAGCAGGGAGCCGAGGAGUUGCAAGGGCCCGGCUCACUAAGCUGGGCGGGCGGUCUAACCUUUACCACUGCACUUGCUAGUGUGUGGCUCAGUGUAAGUUUCUUUGCUUAAAGCUUCUGAUUUUCUGCCUUACAGAUGAAAGUGCUUGGGACCCAGAAGCCACAUGACAAAUGUUAGAUAAUGAAAAUGAGUAUGCCGAGUUUUCCUUUAAGCAAUUACUCAGUUCUGCCUGUGUAGCCAAAAUUUGUGCUUAUUCUUCAGCAUAUCCUUCUCUUUCUUUCUUGUCUCUAUGGAACUUAAAACCAAAAUGACAUCAGGAAACAGAUCAAUUUCCUGAUUUGUACCUCUCUGACAGUCACUUACUGUUUUAAUAAAACUUGUUAGUUGGGUCUGUAUUAGUAAAGUAGCCCUGGUUUGAAGGCACACGUGCUGUCACAUGAUCGCUGCGUUUGGCCAGCAGAUGGCCCUGUGCCUGAAGGUAAACUGCUGAGCCUGUGGGGAGCAGAGAGCUGUUCUGGAUUAGAGUCCCCAGUGAGAGGACAGAGGAGAGACAGAGGAACUUGUGUCUGCCCAGGAGCUGCAGGUUGGAGAAUGUGGAGAGAGGACGCCUUGCUUCCAGCAUCCUAAGCAGCGCCAUGUCUUGUCAAUGGCAGAGUAAAUGCCAGAGGGGAAUAAAACUCCCUGGCUCUGAAAUUACUGUGUUUAAAUUCUGACUCACCAUUUAUUGCAAAUAUACUUUUGACCAAGUUUCUUAUUUUCUCUAAGCCUUAAGGUCUCAAUUGGUAAAAUAAUAGAUAAAGCCUCUCAUGUGGAGUAACAAGGAAUAAUGAUUGCUUUGGAACUCAGUUCUAGAUUAGCAAGCAAUCAAGGAAUGCAGUGAGCACAGUGAGGCAAAUUUAGUGUGAGUACGCGUAUACCAGGAGCCACUACAGCUGUACUGCUUUCUUGGUGAUAGGUGGAAUGGUGGAGGAGAGGUCAGGGAGGAAAUCUGUAGAACUCCCUUUGGUGAUAGGAGCUGCUUGCUUGUGUUUACAGUUUUUUGUUUUGUUUUUUGUUGGGUUUUUUUUGGUACCAGGGAUUGACCUUGCGCUUUCGGGGCAGGCAGUGGAACCACUGAGCUAAAUCCCCAGCCCUGUGUUCACAGUUUAUUGUCAGAAAACUGAAUUUCAUAGCAUCGAUUCUUCUGUAAGAAUAAGAAGUAUGCAAAUAAAGAGAAAAGACAUACUGUCUCAAGCUGUCAUAUAAGUUUUAAAACUCAAAUAUAUUGAGUAGCUAUUGUUUUUAUUCUUUUAUAGGACGUUUUGUGUGUGUUUGUGUGUGUGUGUUUAUUCUUUAUGGGAGGAAAACCAGAGAAACUUUUCAGAGUCGUUCUCAGUUUCCAAGAUAAAGAAAAGCUGUUGCACAUAGAUGCUGGCUGUGGGCACGCUAAAAUCCCAAGGACUUUGCUGUCAGUGCUAGCCUUGCCUUGACCUUUGGCUGACCACAGUCACACUGUGCUCGGUUCAAGCGCAUGGAAAAGCCCACCCGACCUCAGCUGUCCAGCUCACUGCCCCUCCCAGUGGUUCUCAACACUGGCUGCACAAUAAAUUCGUCCAAGGAGCUUUUUAAAAUUGCUGACGUUUGGACCCCUGCCCUGAGGCAUCUGGUCUAAUUGGUCUGAGGUCAGCCUUUGUCUGCUUCUCCAGGUGGUUCUAACCUGAAGCCUGACUUGAAAACCACGACUGGCCUAGCUUGCAAUUCCUCAACGUGCCAUUGGGUAAAGGCAUCCUGCUUCUGUGCUCACUUAUAAAAACACAAAACUUUCCCCAGACUAAAUAAGCUGUUUUUCGCUCAUUAAAUUUAGCAGGAUUAUUUAGCCCAGUGCUCUCUGAAGGUCACCUGAGUAGAAGAGCUAAGGACUGCAGUUUCUUCCUGGCUGCCGAGCCUGCUGUGAUGUCGAGCCUGUCUAUGAUGUGGUCACUCCUUUUCCUGCUUGAUGAGUUUAUUUUACAUACUACUGUUUUUCUUGCAUUGAACAUUAAGUAACAGAAAAUAAGGCUCAAACAUACGUGGUAAAAAUGGUUUUAAAAACGAGUAUUAGAUCUUGAAAUGGGGCAGGGUGGGCUUUCCUGAGAGCCUUUGUGCUGGUGGUCCUUUCUGUUUGGAGCCCCUCCCCCGGAAGUCUGUGGCCAAAGGGUCCAGCUUUGGAGGGUCACUCUGCUUAGCUUGUGUAAAAUCGUGCUGCUGAGCCUCGGGUCCCCGUCCUUCAACAUCUGACAGUCUAAGAAAUGUAGACUUUACCUAUCUCUUAUAUUGCUCAUUGUCAGUCUUCCCGAGAGCAUUAAGCUGUACCAAACAGGAAGUGUUAUCUCUUAUUACAUGUAUGUGUCCCAAGUACCUGUUAAAGUACUUGACAUGUGGUAAGAGUUCAAAAUGGUAUUUGUUGAAUUAAAUUAAUAAUUGUAAUGUGCAUGCUUAUGGAUUAGAAUAAAUUGAUUACUUUCAAACCACA